UAGUCAUAUGCUUGUCUCAAAGAUUAAGCCAUGCAUGUCUAAGUACAUACCCUUGCACGGUGAAACCGCGAAUGGCUCAUUAAAUCAGUUAUGGUUCCUUAGAUCGUUCUUUUUACAUGGAUAACUGUGGUAAUUCUAGAGCUAAUACAUGCAAAAAGCUCCGACCGUAUGGGAAGAGCGCUUUUAUUAGACCAAAACCAAUGGGGUCGCAAGAUCCCUUUGUCUGGUGACUCUGGAUAACUUUGUGCUGAUCGCAUGGCCUAGAGCCGGCGACGUAUCUUUCAAGUGUCUGCCCUAUCAACUUUCGAUGGUAAGCGAUUUGCCUACCAUGUUGUAACGGGUAACGGGGAAUCAGGGUUCGAUUCCGGAGAGGGAGCAUGAGAAAUGGCUACCACAUCUACGGAAGGCAGCAGGCGCGCAAAUUACCCACUCCUAGAACGGGGAGGUAGUGACGAAAAAUAACAAUACCGGACUCAAUGAGGCUCGGUAAUUGAAAUGAGUACAGUUUAAAACCCUUAACGAGGAUCUAUU
rnacentral:rRNA from 1 species